rnacentral:lncRNA from 1 species
CAAGGAGCCAAUGUGGUUGACAUUCACUUACUCAACUUAACCUCAGACACCAAGGAACUGUGGAAUUACAGAGCUCGUUGAGAUCUUGGAGUCCAUUAUCUGCCCUCUCACUUUGUAGAUGAGGACACCAAGGCUCAGAGCGUUCAGUGACCAUUGUGGAUAUGAGAAGCAUUAGAGAAGUUAGAUGUGGACCCUGACAUUCAUAGAAAGAGUCCAAAAACAUCAAUGAGAGCACAUUAGGGCUAGUAACCAGCUUCCAAUAGGAAGCAGAGGCGAAAUUUGGGCGUGAGGGGACGAUGCAAGGGUGGAUCACAGAUCAAGAGGAUGCUGGUGUUGGUCAAAGUUGUGAGGUUGAUACGAUGUGUUGCAAAGAUCUGCAUAAUGUGUUUCAGAGUGUCCAUUGGGCUGGACCCAACUGAAGCUAGAGGGCAAGGAAGUCCAAGUGAUAUAGUCUAAGGCACAGAGCAAGAUGAAGAAAGGUGGGGUGUAGCCUUGGAGGAAUAUCCAGCAAAAGUACAAGACUGGAAGUGAAGAAUGAUGAACAAAACUGAUGCUAAGAAACUUUGCAUUUACGUCUGAUGUACAUGUGACCAGUUAGAAUCUAAACUCAACGACCUUCUUCUUCCCAUUUUUCUGCUGUCCAGUCAUUACUAAUAAAAGAGCCUCUUUCAAAGUUCUCUUUU